rnacentral:misc_RNA from 1 species
GAUGAAGAACGUAGCGAAAUGCGAUAAGUAGUGUGAAUUGCAGAAUUCAGUGAAUCAUCGAAUCUUUGAACGCACGUUGCGCCCUUUGGUAUUCCUUAGGGCAUGCCUGUUCGAGCGUCAUUUCAACCCUCAAGCCCUGCUUGGUGUUGGGCGUUUGUCCUGCCUCCGCGCGGGACUCGCCUCAAAGACAUUGGCGGCCGGUUUCCCUUUGCAGGCCACGAGCGCAGCACAGCGAGCGCUCUACGUGGACGCGGGGUCGGCGCACCAGAAGCCCUCUUUCUCGAAUUUUGACCUCGGAUCAGGUAGGGAUACCCGCUGAACUUAAGCAUAUCAAUAAGCGGAGGA